GACGAAUGGGGCUAGCGUUGUUCGGAUUUACUGGGCGUAAAGCGCACGUAGGCGGAUCGUUAAGUCGGGGGUGAAAUCCUGGAGCUCAACUCCAGAACUGCCUUCGAUACUGGCGAUCUUGAGUCCGGAAGAGGUGAGUGGAACUCCUAGUGUAGAGGUGGAAUUCGUAGAUAUUAGGAAGAACACCAGUGGCGAAGGCGGCUCACUGGUCCGGUACUGACGCUGAGGUGCGAAAGCGUGGGGAGCAAACAGG
rnacentral:rRNA from 1 species